rnacentral:rRNA from 1 species
CCGUAGGUGACCUGCGGAGGAUCAUUAUCGAAUAAACUUGAACAGGCUGUUGCUGGUCUCCUCAGGGAGAUUACGUGCACGCUUGUCUCAUCUUUGUUAUUUCUCCAACUGUGCACCUUUUGUAGACCCUGGAGCUUUAUGAAUUUUCUGAAAAUUCGAGUCAGGACUGCUGUUUCAGCUUUGCCUUGCAUCUCCAGGUUCUAUGUCAUUUUUCACAACCUCUUCAUAUGUUUAGAAUGUUUGGAAAUAUAAAAUUGAAAUAUACAACUUUCAGCAACGGAUCUCUUGGCUCUCGCAUCGAUGAAGAACGCAGCGAAAUGCGAUAAGUAAUGUGAAUUGCAGAAUUCAGUGAAUCAUCGAAUCUUUGAACGCAUCUUGCGCUCCUUGGUAUUCCGAGGAGCAUGCCUGUUUGAGUGUCAUUUAACUUCUCAACCAACAUCAGAUGAUGUUGGCUUGGAUGUGGGGGUUGUUUUUGCAGGCUUUUUCUUGUUAGAAGGUCGGCUCCCCUGAAAUGGAUUAGUGGUAUCUGAGGCUACUACUGUGGGUGUGAUAACUAUCUAUGCCUUUGGUAUGCCGCAUGAACAGAUUACACUGCUUCUAACAAAACAAAAUUUGAUAAAUUGACCUCAAAUCAG